GGGAUGGUCUCGAUCUCCUGACCUCGUGAUCCGCCCGCCUCGGCCUCCCAAAGUGCUGGGAUUACAGGCGUGAGCCACCGCGCCCGGCCUAUUUUCAUAUGAAUUUUAAGAUCAGCUUGUAAAUUUGAAAAAAGCCAACUGAGAUCUUGAUAGGGAUUACACUAAAUCUCUAAAUAUAUUUGGAGAGUAUUGCCAUCUGUGGUGGGCAAUAAUAGUCCCCCAAAGAUUUCUAUAUCCUGGUCCCCAGAAACUAUGGGUAUUUUAUGUUAUAUAGCAAAGGGAAGUUAAGGUUGCUAAUCAGGUGACAUUAAAUAGGGAGAUUUAUCUGGAUUAUUGAGAUGGGCCACUGUAAACAGGAGUGAUCCCAAACAUAGUGAGGGAGUCAGAAGAGUCAGUGUCAGAGCAAUGGGAUACAAGAAAGAUUCCACUAGACAUUGUUGGUUUUCAAGAUGGACAGGUCCAUAAGCCAAGGACUGUAGGCAGUCUCUAGAACCCUAAGAUUGUGAAGAAAAGUACAGCACUUUCCCUUAUUCGAAGCAAACUCAUAUACAUCAGUAACUUUUCAUAUCUUCUUUUAGUCAUGGAAGAUAUUGACAGUCUCAAAAGUGUAUUUCAAUUUUUUUCCUGAGAUCUGAAGGGCGACUGGAAGAAAGUAGGUCAAUGUGGAGACAAACUUUCUAGGCCAAGGAGACAGCAGAUACAAAAGCUUUUGCUGAAGACUAGAGGAGGCCUUACUGAGGAAGUCCUGCUUAAGUUGAGUCUUGGUAGAUGAGUCAUCUUUCAGUCAGACUGCCGGAACUUCAGUGUGCUUUGAUGCAUGGAAUAAGGAACUGUGGCUGUAGACAUGUUGCUAUUGCAUAUAUUGAAUACUGGUGACUCACUAGCAACAGUUGGGUCUGUUCACAAAGGAGACUGAACAGACCAGUGUAAGAACCACCUUUCCUGGUCACAGCUGUGGCUAUUUCACUGAGUAUGGCCAUUUUGUUAAUUACCUAGAUUUUAUUCCAG
rnacentral:lncRNA from 1 species